AUUGAACGCUGGCGGCAGGCCUAACACAUGCAAGUAGAACGAGUGGCGGACGGGUGAGUAAUGUCUGGGAAACUGCCUGAUGGAGGGGGAUAACUACUGGAAACGGUGGCUAAUACCGCAUACCAUCAGAUGGGCCCAGAUGGGAUUAGCUAGUUGGUGGGGUAACGGCUAACCAAGGCGACGAUCCCUAGCUGGUCUGAAAGGAUGACCAGCCACACUGGAACUGAGACACGGUCCAGACUCCUACGGGAGGCAGCAGUGGGGAAUAUUGCACAAUGGGCGAAAGCCUGAUGCAGCCAUGCCGCGUGUAUGAAGAAGGCUUUCGGGUUGUAAAGUACUUUUGGCGGGGAGGCGUUACACGCAGAAGAAGCACCGGCCAACCUCGGGCCAGCCGCCGCGGUAAUUC
rnacentral:rRNA from 1 species